AUGUUUGCUGAUGUGUCAGUUUCAAAAUGCAAGGCACCAAAGAAAAUUGUGUUGGACAAGCUCUUGUGUGGGAUGAAAAGUGAGUACACAAAAGUCUUUGAUUACCAACUAGAACUUCUUAGGAGCAACCAUGGCAGUACAUUGGCUAUUACCUUAGAUCCAAUAGAGAUGGAAUAGAAUAUAUUUCAAAAAUUCUAUGUUUGUUUUGAUGCAAUGAAGCAAGGGUUUAAAGAAGGGUGCAGGAGAGUCAUUGGACUAGAUGGAUGCCUUUUCAAGGGAGCAUGUCAAGGUGAACUAUUGGCUGCCAUUGCUAGGGAUGCUAAUAAUCAGAUGUACCCAGUAGCAUGGGUUGUGGUGGAGAAAGAGACCAAUGAUAGCUGGAAGUGGUUCAUUGCACUCUUAAUCAAAGACUUGGAUAUCAAUGACCAAGGAGAAGGACGGGUCUUCAUUUCUGACCAACAGAAGGGAUUGAUCAAUAGCAUGAGGGACUAUUUGCCUAAGGCUGAGCACAUGAUGUGUGCUAGGCACAUAUAUGCCAACUAGAGGAAGAAACACAAGGACCAUGAAUACCAAAAGAGAUUCUGGGCAGUUGCUAAGGCUGGUAACAGAGAGUAUUUUAACUACAACAAGGCCAAGCUUGCUCAACUUACUCCUGAAGGUGCAAAGGAUAUCAUGAGGACAGAGCCAAAGCAUUGGGCUAGGGCUUUUUUCCCACUUGGAGCAAACUGUGAAUCAGUUGACAAUAACCUUUGUGAGUCAUUUAACAAUGCCAUCAUAGAAUCUAGGUUCUAUCCAAUUAUUACACAACAAGAGAUGAUAAGGAAGAAGAUGCUUGUUAGAGUGCAAGAGUAG
rnacentral:rRNA from 1 species